rnacentral:rRNA from 1 species
GAUGAACGCUGGCGGCGUGCCUCAAACAUGCAAGUCGAGCGGGGCUAUGUAAUAUCGCAAGGUAGAACAUAGCCUAGCGGCGAACGGGUGAGUAACACGUGGGUAACCUGCCUGGAAGACAGGGAUAACGAUUCGAAAGGGUCGCUAAUACCUGAUAAUAUCCUUUCAUCGCAUGGUGAUAGGAAGAAAGGGGGAAACCCGCUUUUCAGAUGGGCCCGCGUCCCAUCAGCUAGUUGGUAAGGUAAAGGCUUACCAAGGCGACGACGGGUAGCCGGUCUGAGAGGAUGUACGGCCACACUGGGACUGAGAUACGGCCCAGACUCCUACGGGAGGCAGCAGUUGGGAAUCUUAGGCAAUGGACGAAAGUCUGACCUAGCGACGCCGCGUGAGGGAAGAAGGCCUUCGGGUUGUAAACCUCUGUCAUGGGGAAGAAGUAAGUGACGGUACCCAAGAGGAAGACCCCUGCUAACUACGUGCCAGCAGCCGCGGUAAGGAGUAGUACA